GACAGAGGUGGCAAGCGUUGUUCGGAAUUACUGGGCUUAAAGGGCGCGUAGGCGGUGAUGUAAGUCUGGGGUGGAAUUCUACGGCUUAACUGUAGGACUGCCUUGGAAACUGCAUUGCUUGAGUCAGACAGGGGAAGGCGGAAUUUCUGGUGUAGCGGUGAAAUGCGUAGAUAUCAGGAGGAAGGCCUGUGGCGAAGGCGGCCUUCUGGGUUUUGACUGACGCUGAGGCGCGAAAGCGUGGGGAG
rnacentral:rRNA from 1 species